rnacentral:rRNA from 1 species
GGACGCAAGUCUGAUCCAGCCAUUCCGCGUGCAGGAUGAAGGCCCUCGGGUUGUAAACUGCUUUUGUACGGAACGAAAAGGUCUNUNCUAAUACGAGGGGCUCAUGACGGUACCGUAAGAAUAAGCACCGGCUAACUACGUGCCAGCAGCCGCGGUAAUACGUAGGGUGCAAGCGUUAAUCGGAAUUACUGGGCGUAAAGCGUGCGCAGGCGGUUAUAUAAGACAGAUGUGAAAUCCCCGGGCUCAACCUGGGAACUGCAUUUGUGACUGUAUAGCUAGAGUACGGUAGAGGGGGAUGGAAUUCCGCGUGUAGCAGUGAAAUGCGUAGAUAUGCGGAGGAACACCGAUGGCGAAGGCAAUCCCCUGGACCUGUACUGACGCUCAUGCACGAAAGCGUGGGGAGCAAACAGGAUUAGAUACCCUGGUAGUCCACGCCCUAAACGAUGUCAACUGGUUGUUGGGUCUUAACUGACUCAGUAACG